GUUGAAACACCGGUCCUUGCAAGAUCUCAGAAGUUAAGCAAGAUUGAACUGGGUUAGUACCUAGAUAGGUGACUGCUUGGGAAUACCAGAUGUUGCAAGC